CUCCUACGGGGGGCAGCAGUGAGGAAUAUUGGUCAAUGGGCUUACGCCUGAACCAGCCAAGUCGCGUGAGGGAAGACUGCCCUAUGGGUUGUAAACCUCUUUUGUCAGGGAGCAACGCCGGCUACGUGUAGCCGGACUGAGAGUACCUGAAGAAAAAGCAUCGGCUAACUCCGUGCCAGCAGCCGCGGUAAUACGGAGGAUGCGAGCGUUAUCCGGAUUUAUUGGGUGUAAAGGGCGUGCAGCCGGGAAGACAAGUCAGAUGUGAAAUCCCGCGGCUCAACCGCGGAACUGCAUUUGAAACUGUU
rnacentral:rRNA from 1 species